GAUGAACGCUGGCGGCGUGCCUAAUACAUGCAAGUCGAGCGAACAGAUGAGGAGCUUGCUCCUCUGACGUUAGCGGCGGACGGGUGAGUAACACGUGGAUAACCUACCUAUAAGACUGGGAUAACUUCGGGAAACCGGAGCUAAUACCGGAUAAUAUAUUGAACCGCGUGGUUCAAUAGUGAAAGACGGUUUUGCUGUCACUUAUAGAUGGAUCCGCGCCGCAUUAGCUAGUUGGUAAGGUAACGGCUUACCAAGGCGACGAUGCGUAGCCGACCUGAGAGGGUGAUCGGCCACACUGGAACUGAGACACGGUCCAGACUCCUACGGGAGGCAGCAGUAGGGAAUCUUCCGCAAUGGGCGAAAGCCUGACGGAGCAACGCCGCGUGAGUGAUGAAGGUCUUCGGAUCGUAAAACUCUGUUAUUAGGGAAGAACAAAUGUGUAAGUAACUAUGCACGUCUUGACGGUACCUAAUCAGAAAGCCACGGCUAACUACGUG
rnacentral:rRNA from 1 species